rnacentral:rRNA from 1 species
GGUGCUAAUACCGUAUAACACUAUUUUCCGCAUGGAAGAAAGUUGAAAGGCGCUUUUGCGUCACUGAUGGAUGGACCCGCGGUGCAUUAGCUAGUUGGUGAGGUAACGGCUCACCAAGGCCACGAUGCAUAGCCGACCUGAGAGGGUGAUCGGCCACACUGGGACUGAGACACGGCCCAGACUCCUACGGGAGGCAGCAGUAGGGAAUCUUCGGCAAUGGACGAAAGUCUGACCGAGCAACGCCGCGUGAGUGAAGAAGGUUUUCGGAUCGUAAAACUCUGUUGUUAGAGAAGAACAAGGAUGAGAGUAGAACGUUCAUCCCUUGACGGUAUCUAACCAGAAAGCCACGGCUAACUACGUGCCAGCAGCCGCGGUAAUACGUAGGUGGCAAGCGUUGUCCGGAUUUAUUGGGCGUAAAGCGAGCGCAGGCGGUUUCUUAAGUCUGAUGUGAAAGCCCCCGGCUCAACCGGGGAGGGUCAUUGGAAACUGGGAGACUUGAGUGCAGAAGAGGAGAGUGGAAUUCCAUGUGUAGCGGUGAAAUGCGUAGAUAUAUGGAGGAACACCAGUGGCGAAGGCGGCUCUCUGGUCUGUAACUGACGCUGAGGCUCGAAAGCGUGGGGAGCGAACAGGAUUAGAUACCCUGGUAGUCCACGCCGUAAACGA